GACGUAGGUGGCGAGCGUUGUUCGGAAUCACUGGGCAUAAAGCGCGCGUAGGCGGCUAAGUAAGUUGGGUGUGAAAUACCUCGGCUCAACCGAGGAACUGCGCCCGAUACUGCUUGGCUUGAGGGUGCGAGGGGAGAGUGGAAUUCCCGGUGGAGCGGUGAAAUGCGUAGAGAUCGGGAAGAACGCCGGCGGCGAAAGCGACUCUCUGGUGCACUCCUGACGCUGAGGCGCGAAAGCUAGGGGAGCAAACGGG
rnacentral:rRNA from 1 species